rnacentral:misc_RNA from 1 species
GAUGAAGAACGCAGCGAAAUGCGAUAAGUAGUGUGGAUUGCAGAAUUCAGUGAAUCAUCGAAUCUUUGAACGCACAUUGCGCCCCUUGGUAUUCCAUGGGGCAUGCCUGUUCGAGCGUCAUUUGUACCUUCAAGCUUUGCUUGGUGUUGGGUGUUUGUCUCGCCUUUGCGUGUAGACUCGCCUUAAAAUAAUUGGCAGCCGGCGUAUUGAUUUCGGAGCGCAGUACAUCUCGCGCUUUGCACUCAUAACGACAGCGUCCAAAAGUACAUUUUACACUCUUGACCUCGGAUCAGGUAGGGAUACCCGCUGAACUUAAGCAUAUCAAUAAGCGGAGGA